rnacentral:rRNA from 1 species
UACGUAGGGUGCGAGCGUUGUCCGGAAUUAUUGGGCGUAAAGAGCUUGUAGGCGGUCUGUCGCGUCUGCUGUGAAAAUCCGGGGCUCAACCCCGGACUUGCAGUGGGUACGGGCAGACUAGAGUGUGGUAGGGGAGACUGGAAUUCCUGGUGUAGCGGUGAAAUGCGCAGAUAUCAGGAGGAACACCGAUGGCGAAGGCAAGUCUCUGGGCCACUACUGACGCUGAGAAGCGAAAGCAUGGGGAGCGAACAGG